UUGGCGGUCAUGACGGCAGGGUAACUCCUGUACCCAUUCCGAACACAGCAGAUAAGCCUGCCCGUGUUCCUUACUGUACUGAAGUGUGCGAGCCUUCGGGAACUCUGGAUCGCUGCCAACU
rnacentral:rRNA from 13 species